rnacentral:siRNA from 1 species
CGCUGUAUAUUGUUGCUUGUAGUC